CGGGCUUUAGCUCAGUGGCUUAGAGCACUCGGCUGUAGACCGAGCGGUCCCGUGUUCAAAUCACGGAAGCCCGACCA
rnacentral:tRNA from 1 species